AUGGCAUCUCCCUCCCACAAAAUGGUGGCAGAAACCUUCCAGCCAGGCCUCCAGCCCAGCAAGCCUGGGCACCACGGCAGCUGGUUUCAAAGCAGGAGCCAGCGCUGCCUCCGGCCCUCCUGGCGCCCCAGCUCCCAGGCCUGCACACACUGGGGCUUCUCCACAACACCCGGCUACACCCACCAACGCUGGGGCGCCAGGCACAGUGCUGCAGGGCAGCUCCACAUCCCAGCUGGGCGCCCUCCUGCCAGCGCUGGCUCAGCGCAGGGACACUCCCGCCAGGGAACCUCCCUGCCACGGCCAUGGACCAAAGGCACACGGAGCUCUCGCACAGCCCAGCCACAGCCCUGCUCCCAAAGCCCGUGCUGCACGCAGCCUCCAGCACUGAGCACAGCACACCGCCGCACCUCACGCGCCUUGUCUUCUCCCCCAGCGGCUCAGGUGCAACGUGAGCAGAGCCAGUGCCGCAGCACGAAGCACCUCACCCUCCUCAAGGUGCUCCAGCUCCAGGCACAGCACCACAGAGCCCCUCCUCCAGCGCACCAAGGCGAGCGACUGCUGCCCACGUACCCGCGCCACGCUCUCUCAAAUCUGCAGUGCUGCUACCAGGGACCCCAGGAAAGGCUGCUCUGCACUGCCCUCCCCAGAACAGACCCUCUCCCAUCACCACUUCUCUUCCUGGGGAAGUCGCUCUGGGCAACAGCACACCAAGUCCAGAAGGAAAUCCCAACCUUCAGCACAUUUCACGCCCCACCACGCACACUUCUGUCUCUCCCUUCCUGCACCCAAAUUCAUGACGGUCCAGCUCUGGGGCCAGGCAAGGGGGCACAGCACCAAGUCCUUUUCUGCACCCUUCCUACAACACUCUCACUUCACGCACACGCUGCACUUUACUCACACAACCGUACCUCUUGCUCUGGACACUUACAUUCCCACACAGGGUCACCCACGUCCCUGCACCCAUAUAGACAGCACAGACAAUACAUGUCUUCACACACACAUGCUUCCUUAACCCUCAAAGUUCUGUCCCUGCUGUCCCACUGCGUUUCACUGCCUCAUCCUGCAACAAUCCUCCAGCAACAGCUGCCCUCAGAGCUGCCCUCUGUGCAAAACAGGCACUGCCCAGGAGGAGGAGCACACGCUGGAGCUGAACAUCUCCACACAGCAAUGGGCAAAUCUACACUGGGCACUUGCAUCCUUCUCUCAUCCUUUCAGAGACUUUGCAGCUGGUGCAUUGAGCUUCAAAGAGUCAGAAGUCAUGAUUGCCACCUGCCAGAAGAAAACACAUAG
rnacentral:lncRNA from 1 species